rnacentral:lncRNA from 1 species
AAUGCAAAUGCACCAUAUUUUAAAUGAAUUCACACUCAUAAUAUUCAAUUCAUGUUCAAUACGUAAUACAUAUAUAGACAAUUGCACUCUUGUAUUCAUCAAAAGAUACUAUUGAUCAAAUGCAUUCAUUCAACAUAUAUAGAACAUUCAUUGUUUUACUUCACUCAAGUAGCUACAACCUUUAAGGAUCCACAAAUCAGAUAUACAAGAGAGGCAUGUUACAAAAAAAUGGCCAAAGUUCCUAAGAGACCAAUUGCAUGAUCACUGGAUUGCUACAGAAUAAUACGGAAGACCAACUCUUCAAUCGCCAAGCCGAAUCAACUUCCAUAUGAACAAAAUGUGUCAACCCAGUUCUCAACAAAACAGUCACGAGAACAUCUUCAGUCAACUUGUGGACUUGCUACUGUCUACCAUUUGUCCCUACAAAAGAACUCGUAUGUUAUAGAAGAUGUACAGUAUACACACAGAUCAUGCAGUAUUACCAAAUAUUAUAUGAUGAAUUGGAACCAUGCAUAGUUGAACUAGUCUCAUACAGGGAAGACCACAAGAAUGAACUAGGCUGGAGUCGAGUGUCAUCAAUCAAUCAAUAAACCAGACCCAAGUAAUAAAACAAAGAUGAACUAGAUAUCACAGGUCUAAAUCAACAGUGUAGAGCAGUGAGAAACUGGGGAGAAACCUCACAGUCAAGAGGCGCUGAUCCACAACCUUGUUUGGGGAGUUGAGGUCAGGGUCGUCGUCUUGGGCUUGGGGUCUUAGUUGUCCUCCUCAUCCAUGGAGUCGGGUGCCUACUACACCAAAUCAAGCAGGAAAAUAAUCAUCAUAUUAUUCAAAAGUCAGACAUACAAUCAAGUGGAAAAAUAAAUAAAAUCACCUGAAGAUUAUAAGGUACAAAACAACAACUUAUUUCUAAAACCCUCCAUUAAUUUCAUCUAGUUUAGUUUCAAUCGAGCAACAACUUGACGAUGGUUUAGUAUUUAUUUAUCCUGGACCAAAUUGGUAGAUUCGAUGAACAAUGCCUGAAUAAGAAAACAACUACUACAAUCAAUAUAUAUCAUCAAUGGUGGUCCCAUAUACUGUAGCAUGCAAAGCGGCAAGAUGAUAUGACACAAUCAAAAGCCUCUAAUGAGCAACCAGCAAAGCUGCAUUUAGUUGGAGGGUUUAGAAAGGGUGCCUCAGAGAAGAUAAUAUAUACCCACUUGUUAAUAUAUAAGCAACCAACCAGCACAACUACAUUCCGUAUGAUGAGUUUACAUUCCACUCAUACUCCAUUGUACACAGACAGAGACAGCUACACACAAACAAGUCCAGUCCCUAGAACCAACAAAUAUAAGCAUCGAUCGUGUGGUCUGCAAGGGUCAAAGUAAAGAGCAAUUUCUACUGUACCAUCCAUUUUCAGUUGCGACAAAGACUAGAACAUCUAGGCCAAAGAGGGAUCAAUUCCACAACCAAACAAUAUAACUGCAUUUACACACAAUUCUUAGUUCCCUACCAAACAACAAGAACAAGAUAGCCAAGCCACUUGCAUCAGACCACAAAUAGGCCAGAAUUAAUGUAAUGAUACAUAAAGGGCAGAGGGAGGAGAGUUGUUGUUUAUUACCACAUUGUUUGUUGUUGUUGUUAUUAUUGUUGUAGUUGAUCAAAAGGGCGACUUGGUGGGUUUGUGGUCCUUAUCCAAUUCCAACCGACCAUGCCCGGUGCUGAACCGGAGGGGUUCCAACUCUACCUGCAAACCAGAAAGGAGCUCACGAUUAAUAACAUUACAGAAAAAGAACAAGAUUACUUAAGAGGAACUAGGCUGGAGAACCUAGAGAACUAGAACUGGCAUCACAUCAUUAAAUCAAGCUAUAAAGUAAAGCGAGUGAAAACCAGGACAAAUGGUAGUGUGGUUUCACAAAUAGAAAAGAAUAGAACCUAGGCAGGCUAGAGCAGAGCAUCGACAACUUACUUGGGUACGUAAACCAUUCAUUUUAAGGCAAGACUUGCAGGCAUGUUCAUUGGCAAUAUAUAUUUAAUAAACACGUGCAUCUAUUUAAUUCACAUGUAUGAAUGCAAGAAGAAAACAAACCAUUCAUUCUAGAUCACUAAAUGAUCGAGAAUGUCUUAUUUUACUUUACAGAUGUGCACAUGACUCAGUCAAAAGGAAUAACAACACAUGAUGUUAAUGCUAGUUAAGUGCAUUGUCGCUUAUAUUCUACAUUAUUAUCAGGUCAUGUAUUCCACUUUUGAAGUGAAUAGGCAUUUUACUAUGUGGUAUAAGAUACUUACAGAGAAAUACAUACAUGUCCAUACAUCCAUAAUUGGGAAGGCCAAAUUGCAUCAAACAAACAUAUGAUUAUUUUGUUACAACCUUUAGAAAUGCAAGUAAUACAUGAUGAUUUUGUUAUUGUGUUUAUGAAAAGAGAUAAAGGCGGCAAGCAAGCAAGCAGGGCGAAUGCAUGGAUGGGAAAUUGAAACUAAAGAAGAAAUUGGUUCCUAGUCAAUGACUUGUGCAUAACCGUCAACAGAUGGAUGGCUACUUAGUGUCGUACUAACUAACAAGACACACUAGGAAAAUCACCAUGCUUUCA